AUUGAACGCUGGCGGCAUGCUUUACACAUGCAAGUCGAACGGUAACAGGCCUUCGGGUGCUGACGAGUGGCGAACGGGUGAAUAAUGCAUCGGAACGUACCCAGAGGUGGGGGAUAACGCAGCGAAAGCUGUGCUAAUACCGCAUGUGAUCUGAGGAUGAAAGCGGGGGACCGAGCAGCAAUGUUUGGCCUCGCGCCUUUGGAGCGGCCGAUGUCGGAUUAGCUAGUUGGUGGGGUAAAGGCCUACCAAGGCGACGAUCCGUAGCUGGUCUGAGAGGACGACCAGCCACACUGGGACUGAGACACGGCCCAGACUCCUACGGGAGGCAGCAGUGGGGAAUUUUGGACAAUGGGCGCAAGCCUGAUCCAGCAAUGCCGCGUGCGGGAAGAAGGCCUUCGGGUUGUAAACCGCUUUUGGCAGGAACGAAACGGUGUCCGCUAAUACCGGGCGCUAAUGACGGUACCUGCAGAAUAAGCACCGGCUAACUACGUG
rnacentral:rRNA from 1 species